rnacentral:snRNA from 1 species
AACUGUCGCGUCGCAGAC